UUGAUUGGUAGUACAAUUCCUUUAUAGAACACAGAGUCAUCUGUUUUAGUCACAUCCAAGUUCAGAGAGCGAAAGAGAGAAAUAUAGAUGAGUCUUGAUGCAACUGUUGUCUGAAGAGAGAAAUCGACCGUGGCUUCACCCUGUAACAGGUACAGAUCCUUAGAGAGGUCAGCUGUCAUUGUUGUCACACGUUCCACACCGAGGCUGAUGUAUUUUUAGCAGGGUCUGUGAUCCCUUAUCGGACUCUUCUCUAUUGUGCCAAAGCAUUUUGUUACCACUGCAUGAGACUUUCCCUCCAACUAACUGUGUACAAAAGUUUAAACCAACCAAUCUGAUGAGGAAUUAUAAAUCAAGACCCACUCAAACCUGUACAGAUGAGUGGAAAAAGAAAGUGAGUGAGACAUAUGCUGUUGUAAUUAAGAGACUGGAGGAAGACUUGAAAAUGAAGGAGGAGGAGUUCAAGGAACUCAAGCAUGUUUUCAGCUAAGAUGAAGCAUUUAAUAAAAUCUGAAUUAUCGCACAGAGGGUGGACUGUCCCUGCUGCAUCUCUGCUGCAUAUGUGGAGGUUGCUGAUAUUCUCUCGCAACACAGGGCUUAUGUCAAUGUCUAAGAUGCAGUGUUCUUCACCCCUCUGCACAUUGCAGCUUACUUUGGCCACAUUGCAGUUUUAUUUUUUUAUUUUUUAUUUUUUACUUUAAACCGUUGCUUCCGGCUUGAGACAUCUAUUAAGAGUAUUUAUAAAUUUCUUCAUCUGUUCCGAUGAAGAAACAAUCUCAUCUACAUCUUAGAUCUAGACCUGGUUAAUGCUCAAGACAACGAGGACCAUGUUCCCCUUCAUUUCUGCUCUCGAUUUGGACACCAAGAGGUUGUCCGUUUACUUCUGCAGGACACCUUUGACAUACAGCUGCACUCUGUCAACAUCUAUGGUGACACACAUCUCUACCUAGCCUGCUACAAUGGAAGCUUGAAGUGGUGCAGGAAAUUAUUCAGUUGUCAGGCACAGAGAGUCUGUCUAA